UCCAAGGAGUUUUCGUAUUUC
rnacentral:piRNA from 1 species